GGGCCCGCACAAGCGGUGGAGCAUGUGGUUCAAUUCGACGCAACGCGAAGAACCUUACCUGGGCUAGACAACGGUGGACCGUCCUAGAAAUAGGAUUUUCCUUUCGGGGACCGCCGGUUCAGGUGCUGCAUGGCUGUCGUCAGCUCGUGCCGUGAGGUGUUGGGUUAAGUCCCGCAACGAGCGCAACCCUCGUCUUUAGUUGCCACCAUUCGGUUGGGCACUCUAGGGAGACUGCCGGCGUUAAGCCGGAGGAAGGUGGGGACGACGUCAAGUCAUCAUGGCCCUUAUGUCCAGGGCCACACACGUGCUACAAUGGGCGGUACAAAGGGUCGCAAACCCGCGAGGGGGAGCCAAUCCCAAAAAGCCGCUCUCAGUUCGGAUUGGAGUCUGCAACUCGACUCCAUGAAGUUGGAAUCGCUAGUAAUCGCGGAUCAGCACGCCGCGGUGAAUACGUUCCCGGGCCUU
rnacentral:rRNA from 1 species